UACGUAGGGGGCAAGCGUUGUCCGGAUUUAUUGGGCGUAAAGAGCGUGUAGGCGGCCAGGUAGGUCUGCUGUGAAAACUCGAGGCUUAACCUCGAGCUGUCGGCGGAAACCAUCUGGCUAGAGUCCGGAAGAGGAGAAUGGAAUUCCCGGUGUAGCGGUGAAAUGCGCAGAUAUCGGGAAGAACACCCGUGGCGAAAGCGGCUCACUGGACCAUAACUGACGCUGAGGCGCGAAAGCUAGGGGAGCAAACAGG
rnacentral:rRNA from 1 species